UACGUAGGGUGCAAGCGUUAAUCGGAAUUACUGGGCGUAAGCGUGCGCAGGCGGUUCUAUAAGACAGAUGUGAAAUCCCCGGGCUCAACCUGGGAACUGCAUUUGUGACUGUAGAGCUGGAGUGCGGCAGAGGGGGAUGGAAUUCCGCGUGUAGCAGUGAAAUGCGUAGAUAUGCGGAGGAACACCGAUGGCGAAGGCAAUCCCCUGGGCCUGCACUGACGCUCAUGCACGAAAGCGUGGGGAGCAAACAGG
rnacentral:rRNA from 1 species